ACAAUUUUUAGCGAACGACUUUACAUUCUGUGUAAAAUUCGCUUACCAGGACUAAUAAGUAGAGUAAUUAAAGCUCUUUUCUUUAUACGUGUAAACAGUACGAGUGAGAAACCGUAAAACACUUUUGUUUUUAUGAUUUAAAAUGUUUUUCUUACUUGUAAUUUUACCAUCAGAGGAUUUUGUAUUUCUGGCGAUUCGUGACAUUGUGUGUGAGCUGAGUCUGGAUCUAUUCAAGAUUCAAGAUACACAGGCCUUCACAGAUAUCAGUGCAAUUGACAUCAACAUCAAGUUCAACAGAGGACACCAAGGACAACACAUUUGCUUUCCUGGACUGUGCAGUUCUCAUAAGGCACUGAUGGGAAGCUAGAAAUGGAAUUCUAUGGAUAGCCACACAUGUGUAACGAUGAUUGCUGUUUGAUUCUCACCAGCCAAUGCAAUACAACUUAGGAGUCAUCAGGACACUACACCGCAGGGUAGAAAGCCUCUGUCCCUCAACAGAAGCCAAGAAGAAAGAAAAUCAUCUCAAGGAAUGUGGAUAUCCUAAGUGGGUUUUUACUAAGACUUCCUUCUGCUAGACUGCCAGAGCCAAUUGAAAAAACAUCUACAUGACUGGAGUAUCUGAGAAACUCAUCCACCCUAAAGAUCAGACUUUGUAAAAGUAAGGAGAGCUAUAUGAUAUUCGUGGUUCAGUGAAGAUUGUUCAGAGCUCUGCAUUGGAGAGACAAAGGCACUAUAUAGGAGGAUGUAUUAACACAGAAGAGGCAACACCUCAGAGCAAGAAACAGUUGUGUAACUUGAUCUGAAGGAUGAAGGGAACGUAUCUGAGUACCAUGAUGUACACAUCUUGGACAGAGAAGACAGAUGGUUUGAGAGAGGAGUGAAGUAGGCUAUCCAUGUCUUUGUGUAAAACCCUCUUAACAGUUGUUGGAGGUCUUGGGCACAAUUUGUCCCUUUUAUUUUUCAUGCUGCUCUUGCAUCCAUUCCCAAUAGGGCUGCACGAUUUAGGGAAAAUAUAUUGCAAUUAUUGAGGUCAAUAUUGCGAUUGCGAUAUAAUAAACAAAUGGUAUCAUGA